rnacentral:lncRNA from 13 species
AUGCCUAUCCCUAUUGUGUUUCUGGGAGUUUCUACAGUUGGCCUUUUCCUCCAAAAAAUUAUCUUCCAUGUUAACAUGGCUGCAGCACAGCGUCAUCGUUACUCAGCAUUGCCCUGCUUGCCCUACCUCAUGGCUGACCCUUCAAGGCCACUGAUGGCUUGCCAGCCACCUCCUCCAUCUGGGUGUCACCUGGGAGCUCAACCAUUUCCAUCAGCUAAAGGCGUUCUGGGACCUCUGACAACUCCUCAACUCCAGUGUCCUCUAGGACAUCAGCCAACUUCUCUAGCUGAUCAUUUUUGGGGACCACAGACACCUACACAGGAGUGUCUCCUGUUACAUCUACCGCCCUUAGCCAAUGAUUUUCUGAGUUCAUACACAACUCCACCCAAGUGUCUUCUGACACCUCUACCACCAUCUACAGAUGAUGAGUUUUAGAGACCACAGACACCUACACAUGAGUGUCUUCUAGCACCUCUACCACCUGCUCCACAUGAUAAUCUUUAGAGACCAUGGUCACCACAGACAUCUCUACCUGAGUAGUACCUCUACCUCCAUCUUCAGCUGAAGAUUUUCUAAGACCAGACUCACCUCAAUCUGAAUGUCUGGUAUCUCUACCACCGUCGCCAGCUGAAGAUGUUCUAAGACCUCACACACUUCCACUUGAGUGUUCUCUGAUACCUCUACCACCAUCUCAAGCUGAAGAUUUUCUGGGACCACACACACCUCCACCUGAGUGUACCAUGUUACCUCUACUGCCAUCUCAAGCUGAAGAUUUUCUGGGACCACACACACCUCCACCCAAGUGUACUCUGUUACCUCUACCACCAUCUCCAGCUGAAGAUUUUCUGAGCCCACACACACCUCCACCCGAGUGUACUGUUACCUCUACCACCAUCUCAAGCUGAAGAUUCUCUGAGACCAGUCACCUCCUCCAGUCAAGUGCUCUCUGGUACCUCUACCAUCUUCUCCAGCUUGUGAUCUUCUGAAACCACAGACACUUCCAGCAAUUGAGUGUCUUCUGGGACUGCCUUCAUGUCUUCCAGCUAUUUGUUUUGUGGGAUCUCCACCAUCUCCUCCAGCUGCGUCUCCUAUGGGACUUUAUCCACCUCAUCCACUUGUCUAUCCUGCUGAACCUCAGGCACCUGAUCCUAUCUGUCCUGAGGGACCUUAUCCACCUCAUCACCCUGUGUGUCCUGGGGGACCCCAUUCACCUCAUUGCCCUGUGUGUCCUGGGGGAUCCCAUCCACCUCAUCCCUCUGUGUGUCCUGGGAGACCCCAUCUACCUCAUUGCCCUGUCUUUCCUGGGGCACCCCAUCCAUCUCAUCCAGCUGUAUUUCCUUUUGGAUAUUACCUUCUUCCUCCAGCAGUGUGACAUCUGGGUUCUCAGCCUACUUGUCCACUUAGUGGCCACUGGCACCUUGGCCACCUUCUUUAC